UAGCGGCGGACGGGUGAGUAACGCGUGAGCAAUCUGUCCUUCACAGGGGGAUAACACUUGGAAACAGGUGCUAAUACCGCAUAAGACCACAGAGUCACAUGACAUAGGGGUCAAAGGAGAAAUUCGGUGAAGGGUGAGCUCGCGUCCCAUUAGAUAGUUGGUGAGGUAACGGCCCACCAAGUCAACGAUGGGUAGCCGACCUGAGAGGGUGAUCGGCCACACUGGGACUGAGACACGGCCCAGACUCCUACGGGAGGCAGCAGUGGGAAUAUUGGGCAAUGGGCGCAAGCCUGACCCAGCAACGCCGCGUGAGGGAAGAAGGUUUUCGGAUUGUAAACCUCUGUCCUUAGGGAAGAAGAAAGUGACGGUACCUAAGGAGGAAGCCCCGGCUAACUACGUGCCAGCAGCCGCGGUAAUACGUAGGGGGCAAGCGUUGUCCGGAAUGACUGGGCGUAAAGGGCGUGUAGGCGGCUGCUUAAGUCUGAUGUGAAAUACCCAUUUUUAAGGUGGGUCGUGCAUUGGAAACUGAGUAGCUUGAGUGCGGAAGAGGUAAGUGGAAUUCCCGGUGUAGCGGUGAAAUGCGUAGAGAUCGGGAGGAACACCAGUGGCGAAGGCGACUUACUGG
rnacentral:rRNA from 1 species